AAUAUGUGUGCCAUUAAAAGGUUGCGCCUGGCUUGUUAAUGGGUCUCAGCAAAAGAGUGUGAACUUAACUAGCUAAACACUGAGUGGCCAGUCUGUGUCAAUAUGCUACCCAUGCAUUUAUUAUGUUAAUUUCACAAAGCAGUAAAAAGUGCACUGAGGUUCCAUGUCGAUCCAUGAUCACUUGUGGGGUUGCUAAUGACCCCCAAGAAAAAAAUCUCAUAAAGCCUGCCCUGUGAGCCUCACACCGAGGGCAAACAUUUGCGUUUUGGCCCAGCUUUUUACCAUAUUUGAUUAUGUAACAGAGUUCCAGCUGAGCAAGCGACAGUGGCAACCCACCGACCCCAUUCCCACCAAGCUCGCUUUGACUACCCCUUCACCGCCUCCUGGGCGCCACGUGCUCGCCAGCCGGUCUACAGACCUGCUGUGCCAUUUGACACACUGAACCCCUGACACCGAGCAGGCAGACAGUCAAUCAAAAAGAAAAAAAAAAAAGUGAGCAGUGGUAGUUGUAAUUGGACCUGCACAUUGGCCUGACACUCAUGAGUCACCUGCACAUUCAGCAUCCUUCAGAGGGUGCAAAGGAAGAGAAUCAAAAACCCACUUUGUUACGCAAGUGUAAAAUUGGAUGUAAACAAGACUACCACUGGGAGGCAUGCAGUGGCGCCAUAGAUACUAGAUCAAACAGGUUUUGGGGCAUCGAAAACACUAAAAAUACACUUAAAGCCACUCAGCAUGUUUAUCAAGUGUCUUUGACAGCUUCCCGCUAAAAACAAUCACAAGAAAGCAACAGCAGUGUGGAUAUAUGGACAUAAACGUCAUCAUUAAGUCACUCGUAUUGCUAAAAAGUAACCAAAACACGUUACUAAACGAUGAUUACGCUUAUGUCUGCAAAAAUAAUGUGACUAAAUAUGCUCCUGUAAAUUAUGACAUCCCCCUGUUGCAAAAGUUUUGCAAUUAAAGUAUUUUACAUGUAACAAUAAAUUUCCCUCAUUUUAUUAAGAUGACCAAAAUACAAAUCAAUAAACAACUGCUAAAUAAUCACCCAAAUACUUAUCACUGUGAACUAUGGCUACCUUUAC